rnacentral:rRNA from 1 species
UACGUAGGGUGCGAGCGUUAAUCGGAAUUACUGGGCGUAAAGCGUGCGCAGGCGGUUCGCCAAGUCAGGUGUGAAAUCCCCGGGCUUAACCUGGGAAUUGCGCUUGAAACUAGCGGGCUUGAGUGUGGCAGAGGGGGGUGGAAUUCCACGUGUAGCAGUGAAAUGCGUAGAGAUGUGGAGGAACACCGAUGGCGAAGGCAGCUCGCUGGGACGUUACUGACGCUGAGACGCGAAAGCGUGGGGAGCAAACAGG